GUCUUUUUGAUAANUAANUUUAAAGUCUAGUCUGCCCAAUGNANNAUUANUUGAAUGGCCGCGGNNUAUUUUGACUGUGCAAAGGUAGCAUAAUAAUUAGUUUUUUAAUUGAAAGCUGGUAUGAAUGGCUGAACGAGAAAAUUACUGUCUCAAGUUNAAAUUUAUUAGAAUUUUAUUUUUAAGUUAAAAAGCUUAAAUUAAUUUAAAAGACGAGAAGACCCUAUAGAGUUUNAAUAAUUAUUUUANGUUNNUUNUANUUUUAGAAAUANANNNUUUUUAUUNAAAAUAAUUAUUUUAUUGGGGUGAUAUAUAAAUUUAAUAAACUUUANUNAAAUNUUAAUACAUAUUUUUAUGAUUUAGUGAUCCAUUAUUNUAUGAUUAUAAGAUUUAAUUACCUUAGGGAUAACAGCGUAAUCUUUUUAAAGAGUUCUAAUCGAAAAAAAGGAUUGCGACCUCGAUGUUGGAUUAAAAUUAAUGUUUGGUGUAGAAGCUNAANAUAAUUAGGUCUGUUCGACCUUUAAAAUUUUACAUGAUCUGAGUUUAAAUCGGUGUGAGCCAGGUUGGUUUCUAUCUUUAAUAA
rnacentral:rRNA from 1 species